UAGGGAAUCUUCGGCAAUGGACGAAAGUCUGACCGAGCAACGCCGCGUGAGUGAAGAAGGUUUUCGGAUCGUAAAGCUCUGUUGUAAGAGAAGAACGAGUGUGAGAGUGGAAAGUUCACACUGUGACGGUAUCUUACCAGAAAGGGACGGCUAACUACGUGCCAGCAGCCGCGGUAAUACGUAGGUCCCGAGCGUUGUCCGGAUUUAUUGGGCGUAAAGCGAGCGCAGGCGGUUAGAUAAGUCUGAAGUUAAAGGCUGUGGCUUAACCAUAGUACGCUUUGGAAACUGUUUAACUUGAGUGCAAGAGGGGAGAGUGGAAUUCCAUGUGUAGCGGUGAAAUGCGUAGAUAUAUGGAGGAACACCGGUGGCGAAAGCGGCUCUCUGGCUUGUAACUGACGCUGAGGCUCGAAAGCGUGGGGAGCAAACAGGAUUAGAUACCCCUGGUAGUCCACGCCGUAAACGAUGAGUGCUAGGUGUUAGACCCUUUCCGGGGUUUAGUGCCGUAGCUAACGCAUUAAGCACUCCGCCUGGGGAGUACGACCGCAAGGUUGAAACUCAAAUGAAUUGACGGGGGUCAUAGCUG
rnacentral:rRNA from 1 species